GGUUGCUGCAAGUUGCUACCAGAGUUUCAUUAGGCAUGUCUAAGUAUAAGCAAUUAUACAGCGAAACUGCGAAUGGCUCAUUAUAUAAGUUAUCGUUUAUUUGAUAGUACCUUACUACUUGGAUAACCGUGGUAAUUCUAGAGCUAAUACAUGCUAAAAAUCCCGACUUCGGAAGGGAUGUAUUUAUUAGAUUAAAAGCCAAUGCCCUUCGGGGCUUUCUGGUGAUUCAUGAUAACUUCUCGAAUCGCAUGGCCUUGUGCCGGCGAUGGUUCAUUCAAAUUUCUUCCCUAUCAACUUUCGAUGUUUGGGUAUUGGCCAAACAUGGUUGCAACGGGUAACGAGGGUUAGGGCUCGACCCCGGAGAAGGAGCCUGAGAAACGGCUACUACAUCCAAGGAAGGCAGCAGGCGCGCAAAUUACCCAAUACCGACUCGGUGAGGUAGUGACAAUAAAUACUGAUACAGGGCUCUUUAGGGUCUUGUAAUUGGAAUGAGUACAUUUAAAUCCCUUAACGAGGAACAUUGGAGGGCAAGUCUGGUGAACUCGCUGGUGCCAGAUAGAGUUGACCCUCGGUAAAUAUAUCAGCUAGUCGAUGUGCUCCAUGGGAUGAUGGGAGAGCACCGGCGAGACAACCUGGAUCGGGAAGGCUAAGGGCUCGCCCUAUGCUGAUCCCCACAGACUCAGACUGAGUCUGUGUAGAGCACGCAAAGGGUCGG
rnacentral:rRNA from 1 species